UGGGGAAUAUUGGACAAUGGGCGAAAGCCUGAUCCAGCAAUGCCGCGUGUGUGAAGAAGGCUCUAGGGUUGUAAAGCACUUUCAGUGGGGAAGAAACGCAGGUCGCUAAUAUCGGCCUGUAAUGACGUUACCCACAGAAGAAGCACCGGCUAACUCCGUGCCAGCAGCCGCGGUAAUACGGAGGGUGCAAGCGUUAAUCGGAAUUACUGGGCGUAAAGGGCGCGUAGGCGGUUCGGUAAGUCGGAUGUGAAAGCCCCGGGCUUAACCUGGGAAUUGCACUCGAUACUGCCGAGCUAGAGUGUGGUAGAGGGAAGCGGAAUUCCGGGUGUAGCGGUGAAAUGCGUAGAUAUCCGGAGGAACAUCAGUGGCGAAGGCGGCUUCCUGGACCAACACUGACGCUGAGGCGCGAAAGCGUGGGGAGCAAACAGGAUUAGAUACCCCCGUAGUCC
rnacentral:rRNA from 1 species